rnacentral:rRNA from 1 species
AGAGUUUGAUUCUGGCUCAGGAUGAACGCUGGCGGCGUGCAUAACACAUCAAGUCGAACGCUGAAGUCCUUCGGGGACGGAAGAGUGGCGGACGGGUGAGUAACGCGUGAGCAACCUGCCGCAGAGUGGGGGAUAACACAGGGAAACUUGUGCUAAUACCGCAUAACGCAAGAGAGUCACAUGGCCCUUUUGCCAAAGAUUAAUUGGCUCUGCGAUGGGCUCGCGUAUGAUUAGGCAGUUGGCGGGUAACGGCCCACCAAACCGACGAUCAUUAGCCGAACUGAGAGGUUGAACGGCCACAUUGGAACUGAGAAACGGUCCAGACUCCUACGGGAGGCAGCAGUGGGGAAUAUUGGGCAAUGGGCGAAAGCCUGAACCCCAGCGACGCCGCGUGAGGGAAGAAGGUCUUCGGAUUGUAAACCUCUUUCAGCAGGGAAGAAGAAAGUGACGGUACCUGCAGAAGAAGUCACGGCUAACUACGUGCCAGCCGCAGC